rnacentral:ncRNA from 1 species
AUAUAAUUGAGUUUGAUGAUGGCUCUGAAUGAACGCUGUCCAAAUGCUUGACACAUGCUAAUCGUACGUUUAAUAUAAUAUAAUAGUAUUUAGGUUAAUCCUACAAAACUGUUUAUUUAAUUAAAAGUGGUGUACAGGUGAGUAUAUGAUAUUUUGGCUACCUUAAAGUAAGGCUAAUAAAUACCUUAUAAAGAAAGGAAGUAAACUUCCGCUUUAAGAUGACAAUAAAUAUCUCGGAUAGGUAGUAGUUAAGGUAAUGACUUAACUAGCUUAAAAUUC